rnacentral:rRNA from 1 species
CCUACGGGAUGCAGCAGUGAGGAAUAGUGGUCCAUGGGCGGAAGCCUGAACCAGCCAAGUAGCGUGCGGGGUGAAGGCCCUACGGGUCGUAAACCGCUUUUGCACGGGGAUAACACCAUCCACUUGUGGAGGUCUGCAGGUACCGUGCGAAUAAGGGCCGGCUAAUUCCGUGCCAGCAGCCGCGGUAAUACGGAAGGCCCGGACGUUAACCGGAGUCCUUGGGCUUAAAGGGAGCGUAGGCGGGCGAUCAAGUCAGCUGUAAAAUGGCUCGGCUCAACCGCGCCCCGCAGUUGAAACUGGACGCCUUGAGUUCACAACAGGCAGGCGGAAUUCGUGGUGUAGCGGUGAAAUGCAUAGAUAGCACGAGGAACCCCGAUUGCGAAGGCAGCCUGCCGGGGUGCGACUGACGCUGAGGCUCGAAGGUGCGGGUAUCAAACAGGAUUAGAGACCCUAGUAGUC